CUUGGCCGCAUCCCUUUCUUCUCAAACACACUCUCCUUUCAAAAUUCUCAAAAGAGAGAUAGAGAGAAACACUUCUCCGGCCACCCUCCUAAACGACCCCGACGAGGGGCCGAUGGCCCCUUUUACCUUGUUUAUCCAAACCCCCAUCCUAAAUCUCCCCAAACCAAACCCAAAAGUAUAAAAAAAAACUACCUUUGUUGCUUGACAGAGCCCUACAUUGCCGGUGAAAUGAAGACCAAGGGGAGAUUUUUGCAGAGGCCAUCUCACUGGUUCGGCCGAAUCAUGGGUGAGGGUUGUCAGAGAGAUGAUAACAUUGGUAGUUGAAACGGUGGUUGUCAUGUGGUCGGAGCGACGAUAAAAGAGACGACGACGGCGGUCAUUUGGGUCUGGGUAUAUUGGGUCGGUUGGGUUUGUAA